GCAGGUAUGGUGGAAUUGGCAGACACGCCAGAUUUAGGAUCUGGUGGGAAACCGUGCAGGUUCAAGUCCUGUUACCUGCACCA
rnacentral:tRNA from 1 species